rnacentral:rRNA from 1 species
AUUGAACGCUGGCGGCAUGCCUUACACAUGCAAGUCGAACGGUAACAGGUUAAGCUGACGAGUGGCGAACGGGUGAGUAAUGUAUCGGAACGUGCCCAGUCGUGGGGGAUAACUGCUCGAAAGAGCAGCUAAUACCGCAUACGACCUGAGGGUGAAAGCGGGGGAUCGCAAGACCUCGCGCGAUUGGAGCGGCCGAUAUCAGAUUAGGUAGUUGGUGAGGUAAAGGCUCACCAAGCCGACGAUCUGUGGCUGGUCUGAGAGGACGACCAGCCACACUGGGACUGAGACACGGCCCAGACUCCUACGGGAGGCAGCAGUGGGGAAUUUUGGACAAUGGGCGCAAGCCUGAUCCAGCCAUGCCGCGUGCGGGAAGAAGGCCUUCGGGUUGUAAACCGCUUUUGUCAGGGAAGAAAAGGUUCUGGCUAAUACCUGGGACUCAUGACGGUACCUGAAGAAUAAGCACCGGCUAACUACGUG